AGCGGCGGACGGGUGAGUAAUGCCUAGGAAUCUGCCUGGUAGUGGGGGACAACGUUUCGAAAGGAACGCUAAUACCGCAUACGUCCUACGGGAGAAAGUGGGGGAUCUUCGGACCUCACGCUAUCAGAUGAGCCUAGGUCGGAUUAGCUAGUUGGUGAGGUAAAGGCUCACCAAGGCGACGAUCCGUAACUGGUCUGAGAGGAUGAUCAGUCACACUGGAACUGAGACACGGUCCAGACUCCUACGGGAGGCAGCAGUGGGGAAUAUUGGACAAUGGGCGAAAGCCUGAUCCAGCCAUGCCGCGUGUGUGAAGAAGGUCUUCGGAUUGUAAAGCACUUUAAGUUGGGAGGAAGGGCAGUAAGUUAAUACCUUGCUGUUUUGACGUUACCGACAGAAUAAGCACCGGCUAACUUCGUGCCAGCAGCCGCGGUAAUACGAAGGGUGCAAGCGUUAAUCGGAAUUACUGGGCGUAAAGCGCGCGUAAGUGGUUCGUUCACUAGGAUGUGACUGCCCCGGGCUCGACCAGCGAACUGCCUCCAAAACUGGCGAGCUAGAUGGAGUCUGAGGGAGAUGGAAUUAAAUCUGAAGAAUUCCAAU
rnacentral:rRNA from 1 species